rnacentral:rRNA from 1 species
GACGAACGCUGGCGGCGUGCCUAAUACAUGCAAGUCGAACGCGGUGGUGACGGGUGAGUAACACGUGGGUAACCUCCCAUCAGAGGGGAUAACACUUGGAAACAGGUGCUAAACCGAUACUGAUGGAUGGACCCGGGGUGGAUUAGCUAGUGGGUGAGGGAACGGCUAACCAAGGCCACGAUGCAUAGCCGGUCUGAGAGGAUGAUCGGCCACACGGGAACUGAGACACGGCCCAGACUCCUACGGGAGGCAGCAGUGGGGAAUAUUCGGCAAUGGGCGAAAGUCUGACCGAGCCACGCCGCGUGAGUGAAGAAGGUUUUCGGAUCGUAAAGCACUUUAGGUAGAGAAGCGGUAUCUAAACAGAAAGCAACGGCUAACUACGUGCCAGCAGCCGCGGUAAUUC